rnacentral:rRNA from 1 species
GAUGAACGCUGGCGGCGCGCCUAACACAUGCAAGUCGAACGGUUAAGACGCACUUCGGUGCGUGCAUAGAGUGGCGAACGGCUGAGUAACACGUGGGCAACCUGCCCCCCGCACCGGGAUAGCCUCGCGAAAGCGUGAUUAAUACCGGGUACUCCGGCACCUCCGCAUGGCGGUGCCGGGAGAGCGUUAGCGGCGGGGGAUGGGCCCGCGGCCUGUUAGCUAGUUGGCGGGGCAACGGCCCACCAAGGCGAUUAUGGGUAGCCGGGUUGAGAGACCGACCGGCCAGAUUGGGACUGAGACACGGCCCAGACUCCUACGGGAGGCAGCAGUGGGGAAUCUUGCGCAAUGGGGGGAACCCUGACGCAGCGACGCCGCGUGCGGGACGAAGGCCCUAGGGUCGUAAACCGCUUUCAGCAGGGAAGAGGCCGCAAGGUGACGGUACCUGCAGAAGAAGCCCCGGCUAAAUACGUGCCAGCAGCCGCGGUAAUACGUAUGGGGCGAGCGUUAUCCGGAUUCAUUGGGCGUAAAGCGCGCGUAGGCGGCCUGGCAGGCCGGGAGUCAAAUCCGGGGGCUCAACCCCCGCCCGCUCCCGGAACCUCCGGGCUUGAGUCUGGCAGGGGAGGGUGGAAUACCCGGUGUAGCGGUGGAAUGCGCAGAUAUCGGGUAGAACACCGGUGGCGAUGGCGGCCCUCUGGGCCACGACUGACGCUGAGGCGCGAAAGCUGGGGGAGCGAACAGGAUUAGAUACCCUGGUAGUCCCAGCCGUAAACGAUGGACGCUAGGUGUGGGGGGGACGAUCCCCCCGUGCCGCAGCCAACGCACUAAGCGUCCCGCCUGGGGAGUACGGCCGCAAGGCUAAAACUCAAAGGAAUUGACGGGGGGCCCGCACAAGCAGCGGAGCAUGUGGCUUAAUUCGAAGCAACGCGAAGAACCUUAUCUGGGCUUGACACUCCGCUGAAGCGGCGGAGACGCCGUGGCCGAGAGGAGCCUGAACAGGUGGUGCAUGGCUGUCGUCAGCUCGUGUCGUGAGAUGUUGGGUUAAGUCCCGCAACGAGCGCAACCCCCGCCGCGUGUUGCCAGCAGGUCAUGCUGGGCACCCGCGCGGGACCGCCGGCGUCAAGCCGGAGGAGGGUGGGGACGACGUCAAGUCAUCAUGCCCCUUAUGUCCAGGGCUGCACACGUGCUACAAUGGCCGGCACAACGGGCUGCGAACCCGCGAGGGCGAGCGAAUCCCUUAAAGCCGGCCCCAGUUCGGACCGGGGGCUGCAACCCGCCCCCGCGAAGUCGGAGUUGCUAGUAAUCGCGGAUCAGCACGCCGCGGUGAAUGCAUUCCCGGGCCU